GGCGGUGGCGGCGGCGGCGGCGGGAGGAANNNNNNNNNNUGGAAGUCUCCCAUGGGCUCUCCCACCUGCGGGGCACACAGAGCGGAAAGCCACAGGCGGAGAGGGUGAGCCAGGGGGCCGGGGCAGCGUUUCCCCUCCUGAGCGGGGUGGAUUCACCUCGGCGGCCCCCACACCCGGGGCACAGGGCACGUGAAACAGGGUGUUCGGCCAACACCCGCCAGACGAUGGAAGGCGAGACACACAGGCUCAUCUCAGAUACACCGGAGGAGCAGCGGCAUGUGCCUAACGAAGUCCCAACCGCAUUCCCGGUUCAGGCCGCUAGGAGGGAGGUGCUGUUGCCACCCUCACCAUAGGACCAAGAGCAGCAUCAUGGAGAGGAAGGGACAGGCCCAGCCACAGAGCUGGUGUAGUUGCCAUCACUGACGUCUCCACCCCGAAACUUCACAGCAGCACUUCACCAGCUGUGCUCGAGAGAACCUGACUGGACACAAGAUAUGGGUCUAAAAAGAGAAAGAAAAAAAUGAGCCAUUAACACCUAAGAUGAAGACCUUGUCAUCAUAGGAUCCAUCAUUAUCUUUACGAAGAAUCAUGGUAGAAGCUGAGAGCCAAGGCGGGGAGUCCACCUUGAUCUUCCUGGUUGCAGCUGUACUUUGCAUUUCUCACCAGCUGCCUGACAAUAGGGAACGGUUGCCAUUCUGAGGCUGUUUAUGUACAGGAAAGCUGAAAAGAGAGGACUGAGAAGCCGCUUUGAGCACGGAGAGCCCUACCCAUCGUCCAAGGGCCUCUAAAGUUUGGCCUCUACGAGGUCUUCAAGAUCCGCUAGGCGCAGCUCCUGGGCCAGGAAACGGCCUAUGAGUGAAGAACCAGCCAUCUCGGCCACCGCCAAGUUCUUCGUCCAUGUGGUCCUGGCUGCCUUGGAAGUUGAGGGUUCGUACGCCUGCUUCGAGCGUGAGGUCGAGGCGCUCUACAUGGUGCCCAAGCCCCAGAGUCAGUGCACCAAAGCCAAACAGCUGGCCGUGACCUUAUGGCCGGCUACACUGCUGGCGUCUUCUGCGCCGCCAUGUCCCACCCGGCCGAUUCCAUUGUGUCUGUUCUGAACAAGGGGAAAAGCCUCAGGGCUUUCAGGGUUCUUCGCAAACGGGUUCAGGGGCGUGUGGAAGGGCCUGUUCGCCCAGAUCAUCAUGAUUGGCACCCUGACUGCGCUGUGGUGGUUCAUCUACGACUCCGUCAAGGUCAGCCUGCCUCGCCCUCCCAUCCCUCAAGCACCAGAAUCCCUAAAAAGAGUAAAAAUUAUGAGAAGUUAAAUUGUGACUUACAUCGCCCGAUAGCUUGGAAAGCAUUCACUGUUUUCAAAGAGCAUGACAGGAGAUCUGCAUUUUCUCACUUGGCUUUGUCGGAUUCUCUUCCUGAUGUUGCUGAUUAGAACAUAGCUCUCCUCAGGAAGUGCUACAAUUGGAUCAAUGUGCAAAACCAAAAUGAGAGGAAGGGCAGGCUCAGAGAAUAAAUAUGUAAAGAAAAGCCUCUGUUCUCUAAAGAUUUCUUUUGUACAACUCAGCUUUCAACAGCCAUACAUCCAAGGAAGAUCAUACCACCCUGACAUUUAAACACAUGCACACACCCACAAAACCCUAUGAAUUCCAACAAUUUUUGGUUGAAUGUUAAAGAAUGGUUUUGGUUACUUCGGAAGGAAAAUCUCACUUUUAAUGUAACAAAUGUCAUUUGUUUGGUAGGUGUUUCAAUAAUCCUUUCAAUAGUUGGGGUUCAUAUAACUUAUUGACGUUAUAAGGCACAUUUUCACAUUUCUGUAGCCUUCACAUCUCUGAGUGAGGAAAGUAAAAAAUUAGUGAAAUUCUGUGAAUUAGAGAUGUUUGUAGAAUAAGAAAUAAAUUUCAAUAUGCUAUUUGAUAUGAUUUAUCAAAAUGUUACAUAAUUGCUUUAACUUGUGUUAAAACCCACAAACAGAACAUGUUAAAUGUUUUAACUGUAAUAGUAAGCUGUUUAGUGGUUAACAGAAGUUAAAAAGUGUCUAAAUAUGUUUGAGCUGUCUGGACUGGAUAAUAAAGAACUUGGAGGGAAAAAGUCAGAGCCUGUGAAUGAGAUGCAAUGAAAUUUCUAUUUAGUGCCUCUAUUUUGUUAGGGAGGAUGCAGGAGAAGGAUCAUUAUGCAUCCUUAAGACACUGUGAUUUUCCCUAGGAAGUUAGUGUCCAGGUUUAUGGAAAAGAAAUACUCUCAAGGAAGGAGAAUGACGAAUUUUGAGGCACUAAAUUUCGUGGGUUUGUUUUUGCAAAAAUUUAAAACAAAUAUUUUUCUGACUAGUGUUACCUUGUAAAAUGUAGGAGGUUUCUUUGGUCAACAAUUUUUUAAUGUAAAUUACUUUCUACUGUAAUGUACUUUAAGAAAUUGCUACAGAAUCGUUGGCGUUUCAGACUAGUAAGAGAUCACUGGUUCUGGUCUUUGGUGUCUCAUGAUUGUUCUGUCAACAAUACUAGGUAUUUUCUGUAAUGUAAGAUGUGUAUGUUUAGACAGGUGUGAUCUAAGGAAAACUGUUCGGCGUGAUUCUUACUGUCAUGGAUAUGGUUGAGAGGAUGGGUUUACUUAGAGUCAGCAGUUUUCAUAUUCAGUCUCUAGGUUUCUCUUCACCUUUUUUUGUUCAUGGUGGUUUACAAAUGUCUGAAUAAAAAGGGAGGGGCCAUGAUGGCGAACAAUAAAGAAUAAAGUGUAAUUUAAGAAAGA
ensembl:lncRNA